ACCAGCACAAGGAAAUCAGGGUACAUUCUGAGUUGAAAAUAGAAAGACCAAUGGUUUUAAUUUCAUGUAGCUCUUUAAAAAAAAUUUUUUUUUUACCCAAAUGCCCAGAAUAUUUAUAGAUUUUUGGCUUUGAAUGGAUGCAGAUUUUGCUUGUUUUAAAAAUUCCUUUUAUAGUGUUAAAAAUGGUUGAAAAGGGCUGGGGUUGUAGUUCAGUGGGAGUGUAUUUACGUAGCAUGUGCAAGGCCCUGGGUUUAGUCACUAGUCCCCCCCAAAAUUUAAAAAGCAAAAAGUAAACAUUUUAAAACACUGCAUCAAAUCAAAUAAAAAACAGCAACAACAACAAAUUGUUUACCAGAUCGGGUGUGGUGGCACACACCUGUAAUCCUAGAGGCUUGCGGAGGCAGAAGAAUUGCGAGUUCAAAGCCAGCCUCAGUGAAAGCAAAGUGCUAAGCAACUCAGUGAGACCCUGUCUCUAACUAGAAUACAAAAUAGGGCUGGGAUGUGGCUCAGUGGUUGAGUGCCACUGAGUUCAAUCCCCAAACCCACCUCCCAAAAAAAAAAAAAUGGUUUACCAAAAAGUAGCAAGCUUUCUUCACUUCAAGAGGUAAUUUAUAUCUUACCUUUUGGUAAAUCUGCAACAAUUUGGCUAGAGCUUUGGGAAGUAUUCCCCCUUCUUUUUUAUAAAUUAACUUUUUGUCUUGGAAAUAUUCCCUUAUUCAAUAUAAGUGAAAAAUGUCAGAUCAUCUAAGUAAAAAUAUGAAUUCCAUUCACUUUAUCACUGAAGCAAAUUUCAUGGAAACUAUCAGUUUGAAAUACCUGUUUGAAAGUUUGUGUUUAUUUGUAAAUUCUAAUUAAGCCCAUAGAUAGAAUAAGUAAAUAGAUAAUAAAAAAUAUCAUGUCAUCCAGCUGAGACCUGGUGCCAUUUGGCAUUGCAUAUCAGAAACAGUUAUGGACUCAAUGGAAAAGAUAUAGGUGUGGGCAGUAGAGGCCACCACUGUUCUCUAAGAGGCCCAACUCUCUACUGCUGGUGGCUCAGUCCUAAGAAGCAGACAUAUUGGCUCUCACUAUAAAUCAAAGAAUCCUCGAUGACACAGGAGUUCGUUUACAAUUUGCUAUUAAGUGGGGGUAGGGAGAAGCCUGUUAUAAAGCUUGAAUUUGGCUGGGAAUUGUGGUGCAUAAUAACAGCUAUUACAGAGGCCGAAACAGGAGGAUCAGAAGUUUUAGGCCGGCCCAGGCAGCUUUAGCAAGAUCUUGUCUCAAAAUAAAAUAAGAAGGGCUGGGGAUAUAGCUCAGUGGUAGAGAACUCUUGGAUUCAAUCCCCAGUAGCACAAAACAUAUGUGCAUAUAUAACAUACAUACCUAAAUAAAUAAAUAAAAACAAAAUUUGAAUUUAAGUUGUUAUUACAUACAAGUAUCCCUACGUGCCAGGUCAUAAGUGAUUUUUAUGUUUUUCUUUCUGUUUUUCUGUAUUUCCCCAAUUU
rnacentral:lncRNA from 1 species